rnacentral:rRNA from 1 species
UACGUAGGGUGCAAGCGUGUCCGGAAUUAUUGGGCGUAAAGAGCUCGUAGGCGGUUUGUCGCGUCGAAUGUGAAAACCCGGGGCUCAACCCCGGGCCGCAUUCGAUACGGGCAGACUAGAGUUCGGUAGGGGAGUCUGGAAUUCCUGGUGAGCGGUGAAAUGCGCAGAUAUCAGGAGGAACACCGGUGGCGAAGGCGGGACUCUGGGGCCGAUGACUGACGCUGGAGGAGCGAAAGCGUGGGGAGGCGAACAGG